GACAUGAGAUUCUGCCCUGGACCUGAAAUGGUCACCAGGCUCUUCUUCUGGGUGUUUCUUUGUCUCCUGUGGGCAGGAAACCUGGAUGCCCGAAUCACCCAGAGUCCAAGAUACAAGGUCACACAGACAGAAAAGAAAGUGACCCUAAGGUGUAACCAGACUGAUAACCAUAACUAUAUGUACUGGUAUCGACAAGACCUUGGCCAUGGGCUGAGUCUGAUCCAGUACUCAUAUGGUGUCGGCGGCAUUAGUAAAGGAGAUGUCCCUGAUGGGUACAAUGUCACUAGAUCAAACAUAGAAGACUUCCCCCUCACGCUGGAGUCUGCUACUACCUCCCAGACAUCUGUGUACUUCUGUGCCAGCAGUGAUACACAGCGCUGCAUGGCUGCCUCCUCCCUGCACAAAAAGGAUGGUUAG